UUCGCCGUUUAAGUAUUCUCAGAAUUUUCCCUAGCCCUUCUGAUUCAACUUCAAGAACACACGCCCACCACUUACCAGAGAGAGAGAGAGAGAGGCAUUUUAUCUUUUUCUUUCAAUGAUCUAUUGAUUGGGUUUUCUUGAAAGCCUCUUUCUCUCUUUUGUUGAGGAUUUUCUAUAAUUUCAAAAGGCUGCAAAAAAGAUGGGUGGAUCAGAUGAGAACUUUCCGGGUGCGAUCAGGCCAUCAAAUAUUCAAGGGGCACUGGGGCCUGGAGGUGAAAAGUUUCCAGUGGCAGUUGGACAUAGUAGAAGGGCAUUGACUGCAAUCAAUAAGAACAUAAUAGGAAUUCCCCCUUACCCAUCUGCUGUUCACAAGAGAGCUGUCUUGACAGAAAAAAAUGCUAUCAGUAACAAGAAACCUGAUGUGCCGGUGCAUCGACCUAUCACUAGGAAGUUUGCUGCACAAAUAGCUUGCAAACAACAGCAUCCAUAUGUUAAGGAAACCAAGCCAUCAAUCCAACAACAAGUUUCCAAUUCACAUCAAUUGGUAGACUGCCUCAUUGUUGAUGCAGAGGACUACAAAGUAAUCGGUGACUAUGAUGUGCCAAUGUCCGUGCAACAUACAGAAGCUAUGCUCGAAGAAAUUGAUCGAAUGGAUGCGGAAAUUGAAAUGGAAGAAAUCGACGAGGAGGAGUCAGUUGUGGACAUAGAUAGUGCUGAUAAGAAUAAUCCACUUGCAGUUGUCGAAUAUAUUGACAACAUAUAUGCCUACUACAAAAAGACAGAGAGUUGUAGCUGUGUCCAACCAAACUAUAUGGAACAGCAGUUCGACAUCAAUGAAAGGAUGAGAGGUAUUCUUAUCGACUGGCUGAUUGAGGUGCAUUACAAGUUCGAACUGAUGGAUGAGACAUUAUUUUUAACCGUCAGUCUCAUCGAUAGAUUCUUAGCUGUCCAACCAGUGAUAAGAAAGAAACUCCAGCUUGUAGGAGUGACAGCUAUGCUCAUUGCCUGCAAAUAUGAAGAAGUCUCUGUUCCUGUUGUGGAGGAUCUUAUUUUAAUUUCUGAUAGAGCUUACUGCAGAAAAGAAGUUCUUGAUAUGGAGAAAUUGAUGAUCAACACCUUACAGUUUAACCUCUCAUUUCCAACUCCUUACGUGUUCAUGAGACGGUUUCUUAAAGCUUCUCAAUCGGACAUAAAGUUGGAGCUGCUAUCCUUCUUCAUGAUCGAGCUCUGCCUAGUCGAAUAUGAGAUGCUUAGGUUCCCGCCUUCAUUGUUAUAAGCAGCUGCAAUCUUUACAGCCCAAUGUGCUCUCAGCAAGUCAAAGCAGUGGAGUAAGACGAUCGAGAAGCAUACAAAAUACACAGUGGACCAGCUUUUGGAAUGUGCAAAACUAAUGGCAGCUUACCAUCAGAAGGCAGGUACUGGGAAACUAACUGGUGUGCAUAAGAAGUACAGUACCUCAAAAUAUGGAUAUGCUGCUAAAUCAGAGCCUGCUGAUUCUCUCUUAAAUCUUGAAGAAUUUUAGGACAGGGGGGUUGUUUGGGGGUGAAAGUGAGCAACAUAAGUUGCCCCUAGGUGGGGGGCGGUUUCUUGACAACAAGUUGACUUAGCUGAAUAGUUUGUGGGACUUGUUUUGAACUAUUUCUUGUUCUUGUUUAAUCCUCUUUCGGUUUGUUCACAUUUUCAUUUAUUGGAUAUGUAUAUCCAGUGAAUGAUUGAAGGUUGUCCAAAAGUUUAAUUCUUGGUUUUCGUUUCCGAAGAAAAUAUGAAGUCUUUCCAGUUCAAAAUAA